GACGAACGCUGGCGGCGUGCUUAACACAUGCAAGUCGAACGAUGUGGCGAACGGGUGAGUAACGCGUAAUCAACCUGCCCUUCAGAGGGGGACAACAGUGGGAAACGACUGCUAAUACCGCAUACUGAAUGAGGGUAUUGCGUCGGAUUAGCUAGUUGGAGGGGUAACGGCCCACCAAGGCGAUGAUAAGUAGCCGGGCUGAGAGGAUGACCGGCCACAUUGGGACUGAGACACGGCCCAGACUCCUACGGGAGGCAGCAGUGGGGAAUUUGCCGCAAUGGACGGAAGUCUGACGGAGCAACGCCGCGUGAGUGAAGACGGCCUUCGGGUUGUAAAGCUCUGUUAAUCGGGACGCGGUACCGAAAUAGAAAGCCACGGCUAACUACGUGCCAGCAGCCGCGGUAAUAC
rnacentral:rRNA from 1 species